GGCAACUUGCCAGAGAGGUUAAUGGGUGAGACUUGAACUUUGUUCAUUCGAUAUCUCAUGGGCUCCGCCCGCACAGGUUCGAACCCUGUAGUUGUCG